rnacentral:sRNA from 1 species
CCCUAGCCCUUAUAGAAGCGGAAAUCCUUUUGUGUCCGUCGCGGCGGACACAAAAGAUUAGAACGGAUAGCAGGAAAUAGC